CUGCUUCUCCGAGAAAACACCAAAUGGCGGAUGACGCCUGUGCAGCGGGCGGGGGCGGAAGACCGCGGAGUUCGCGGAGGCAAGGCCGAGGAUAAGGAGCGGAUGCCCGUCACCAAGCUCGGCCGCCUGGCCAAGGAUAUGAAGAUCAAGUCCCUGGAGGAGAUUUAUCUCUUCUCCCUGCCCAUCAAGGAAUCUGAGAUCAUUGACUUUUUCCUGGGGGCCUCUCUCAAGGACGAGGUUUUGAAGAUUAUGCCGUUGCGGAAGCAGACCCGCGCCGGCCAGCGCACCAGGUUCAAGACGUUUGUUGCCAUCGGGGACUACAAUGGCCACGUUGGUCGGGUUGAAGUGUUCCAAGGAGGUGGCCGCCGCCAUCGGUGGGGCCAUCAUCCUGACCAAGCUCUCCAUUGUCCCCGUGCGCAGAGGCUACUCGGGGAACAAGAUCGGCAAGCUCCACACCGUCCCUUGCAAGGUGACAGGCCGCUGCGGCUCUGUGCUGGCGCGCCUCACCCGCGCCCAGGGGCACUGGCAUCGUCUCAGCGCCUGUGCCCAAGAAGCUGCUCAUGAUGGCUGGAUCUAUGACUGCUACACCUCAGCCAGGGGCUGCACUGCCACUCUGGGCAACUUCGCCAAGGCCACCUUGGAUGCCAUCUCUAAGAUCUACAGCUAUCUGAUCCCCUGAAGGACCUCUGGAAGGAGACUGUAUUCACCAGGUCUCCCUAUCAGGAAUUCACUGACCACCUCGCCAAGACCCACACCAGAGUCUCCGUGCAGAGGACCCAGGCUCCAGCUGUGACUACAACAUAGG